GGAAUUCAGUGUGAAAAACAAAGACGACGACGUCGCUUCGUAGUUCGGUCUGCAAAAUAGUAAAUAGUUGAUCAGCGUGAAUCUGAAUCCUUCCUUCCUUCUCGCAUCGCAUCUUGUACAAGAAGAAGAAUAAUUUCCCAAAAGGUCAAAUUGCAAACAGAGACUCGCGUAGAUCCAUUUCUCUGAUCAUCAAUGGGUUUGUGGGAAGCAUUUCUCAAUUGGCUCCGAAGCCUCUUUUUCAAGCAGGAAAUGGAGCUAUCUUUGAUAGGACUUCAGAAUGCUGGAAAGACAUCACUUGUAAAUGUUGUUGCGACUGGUGGAUAUAGUGAAGACAUGAUCCCUACGGUAGGAUUUAAUAUGAGGAAGGUAACAAAAGGAAAUGUCACCAUAAAGUUGUGGGAUCUUGGAGGUCAACCUAGGUUCCGCAGUAUGUGGGAGCGAUAUUGUCGUGCAGUGUCUGCUAUUGUCUAUGUUGUUGAUGCUGCUGAUCCAGACAACGUGAGUAUCUCAAGAAGUGAGCUCCAUGAUUUGCUGAGCAAAUCCUCACUUAGUGGUAUCCCGUUGCUAGUGCUGGGAAACAAGAUUGACAAGCCGGGAGCUCUGUCUAAGCAGGCUUUGACUAAUCAAAUGGAUCUCAAGUCAAUUACUGAUAGAGAAGUUUGUUGCUUCAUGAUCUCGUGCAAGAACUCAACAAACAUUGAUUCAGUAAUUGAUUGGCUUGUAAAGCAUUCCAAAUCGAAGAGCUGAGCUGAUGAGGAUGUAUAGCUAACUUGGAAUACCUGAAAAUGGCCAGCGUCCCGCCGAGCGAAUCAUGUACAGCAUUGAUUUUGCAGAAGAUGAUAGGACAAGUCGUGAUUGAUAAACUAGAAGGAAGAAUGAAUACCUUCUACAAAGAAAAGAGGAUGGGUUUAGAAAAGCAACGCUCACACUCACGCUAAAACAUGAGACCUAAAUUUAUUUGCGGCAAAGGUAUUUCUCCUGAAAAUGAGUUUGAGAAAUAAAAGAAUUCCAUUAAUCGAUGCAGGGAUGAGAAUAUAUGGAUCCAACCAUUUGAUACAUUCGGCUUUCAUCUAGUUUGAAGUGGAUAUCUUUAUAAUAUUCUUGCAGCCAAUCGGUGCUCAUGAGUCAUGAGCGAAUCCCGUCUGAACAUUUGGAUUCAAGCGGACAUCAAUCAUACUUAUUUUGAGUUCCCUUGCGUAUUAAACAAAAAGGGAAAAAACUUACUGAAGGGUCAGUUCAUACAAACAAGUCGGGAAGUGCAAACACGCAAAAAUAAGAUUACAUGGGAUAGCGCAAAUCAAACCAUUACGUAGUUUUUCACUUACGAAUAUUAAACAUUACAGCACUCUCAUUUGCUUAGGCAAAGUUUGGCUAAUAUGCCACCUUUUGCCUUAUGCCUAAUCACUCAAAAUUUGAACUUUACAUUAGAUUAGUUAUCUAACUCUCUAUAAUAAAAAUUAUUAUUAUUUUUUUAAAAUUUUUAUAUAUACUUUUAAUGCAAUAUUUAAUUAUUUUGAAAAUAUUUUUUAUUUUCAUUUUCAUAAUUUCCAACAAUCUCUAUAUAAAAAUACAUAAAAUCCAUCUAUCAACCUAAAUUAACUUCAAAAGUUCAUAAAAAGUUCAUACAUUUCCAUCUAUCAAAAUACUUCAAAAGUUCAUUUUCAUAAAAUCCAACAAUCUCUAUAUUAAAAGCAGCACUGCUACAGGUACCCGGCGAUGGGUACUUGUUGUGGAAUCGGUUGAUGUGGCGUAAUGUCACGUCAGCUGAUAUAAUAAUAAAAUAAAAAAAAAAAGAGAAAAAAAGGUCACGUCAGCAUUUUUCUAUAAUAAUGGAGAAAAAUAGUGAUAAUUUGGGCAAGUUGGCGGGUACUUUGAGAUGCAGGUAAUUUGAGCCAAUGGCUUCACUUGCAUGGAUUCCUGAAACCUGACGCUGUUUAUUGCUCCAUCCCCUUCCGAGUCUUCUCCAACUUCUUUAUAUCUCGUCACAUCCCAUUUUCCUCUCCGUAUCACUCUCUCUCGUGUCUCUGGUCUCUUUCUCUCUCUGCAAUUUCUUCAACUCUGAUACAUUUGAGGACAUAAUACAUUUGCUAGUCUCAUGGACUCUGGUAGUUCUACGAGAAGGCCAUGUUUCGUUGAGGGAGAUGAUGGGUUGGCCUCUUUGGCAGGCAUGGAAGUCGGCUUCUCUGGAACCCAACACCACAGACAACCUUUCUUGUCUAGGUUGUGUCACAGUGCUCCUUGUAAUGGUAAUACGAGGAAUAGUUUCAGAAGCGCUUCGGUUUUGUCUCCAAGAUUUGGGAGGUUCUAUGAUGCAAGACUCGAAGAGCACCGGCCCCAUAGAGAAUCCACCUCCCCAAACGAAACCCAGGACUACCCUUUCCGAACAAGCACUAUAGCUGCCGCUUGAAUAUAUCUAUAUAUACAUAAAAGAAAUGAAUAGAGAAACUAUGUCUAAAUGCUUUACAGGGAGAAAAAAGGGGUUUUUGAGAGACGAAGAAGAAGCAUUUUGAGGAAUUUUGUUUAUGUUGAUACUGUGAAUGUUACUGAGAUGUCUCUUUGGGAGUUGCUA